GAGCUGUUAACGGUUGCCAAAACUCCAAAUUUUACAAAAAACUGUUGGCGAAAGCUACUAGUAGACGAACUGGCGCAAAAGAUGUGUUGGAAGGGGACAGAGGAGAAAAAAAGUGUACGCAGCCUCAGUUCAGCAAAAGCAAUAAGAAAUGCAGCAAUUUCUAUUGGAUUGAGCGAGGAUGAAUAUAUAAAAAGCACAAAAUCUUUUUUCCAGUUCGCGAAAAAUAGGCAAGAAUCAAAACAAAAAUAUACUCCAAAGACAAAAAACAAAAAUUAAUUUUUUUCUUAUGUUAGUAAUAUACCUUAUAUUAAUAAUACACCUGAUAAAAAUGUACAAAAUAAAAAUUAAACUAUAAAAAAUAAUAAAAUUAAAAGGUUUAUAAAACUAUUA